rnacentral:sRNA from 1 species
CCUUUCAGUCCUUGCCUACCGGGGAACAAGGUCGUGAAAAAACGGUCUUGGUGAGGUGCCGCCAUUUCAUCCGUCCUCGGUCUCUGCGCCUUUCGCAGAGCUUCCAGCAGCGAAUUUGCCGUUUUCAGUGGAAAACAAGUGGUCCUUACUAGCUAAGAUGUGUUUGUACUUUGGAUCUGCAUUUGCUACACCCUUUCUUAUAGUAAGACACCAACUGCUUAAAACAUAAGGAUGUUUCAGUUCCUCCAUUUAACAGCAAGCUUGUGAGGCGGAUGAUAGUAACCCCAUCUGAGACACAAAGAUGUUAAGUUGUUCAAGAUCUCAUAACUAGUAUAAUUGUGGACCAGGACACUUGCCCAGGCAGUUUCUUGUUGCAGAGCUCACACUUUUAACCAGAUAUGAAGAGCAUUUUAAGAGGUGCAGCCUGAAGUGGAUCAAACUAGAACUCAUAUGCCAUACUAGAUAUGUUUGUCAAUAAACUUAUGACGUGAA